ACGUAGGGUGCAAGCGUUAAUCGGAAUUACUGGGCGUAAAGCGUGCGCAGGCGGUGAUGUAAGACAGUCGUGAAAUCCCCGGGCUCAACCUGGGAAUUGCGAUUGUGACUGCAUCGCUGGAGUGCGGCAGAGGGGGAUGGAAUUCCGCGUGUAGCAGUGAAAUGCGUAGAUAUGCGGAGGAACACCGAUGGCGAAGGCAAUCCCCUGGGCCUGCACUGACGCUCAUGCACGAAAGCGUGGGGAGCAAACAGGAUUAGAUACCCUGGUAGUCCACGCCCUAAACGAUGUCAACUGGUUGUUGGGUCUCUUCUGACUCAGUAACGAAGCUAACGCGUGAAGUUGACCGCCUGGGGAGUACGGCCGCAAGGUUG
rnacentral:rRNA from 1 species